UACCUGCCAAAGGUCUGUUUACCUGACCUUUAUCUCAGCCUCUGGAAACAUGUUUCCUAAGUCUGUUAGUAGGCACGAGAAGCUGCCUUCUUCCUGUCCACUGCCAAGAGUAUCUGCCUUGCAAAAGGCUUUGGGCCAGAUCAUCACCUUGCAGAACCUGCUUCACUGGGAAAGAUGCCGGGCAGCCUUGGGGGAGCCGUAGGUGGGAGCAUCAGCAAAGGCCAUAGGAAAUGUUCUCUCAAGAAGGGCCACAGAGAAAAAGAAGAGCUUAGCUGCUUUCCAGACUGUCCUGGCUAUGAGGACCCGUGAGUCCCCAACUCUGCCAUCUAUCUUGUCAAGUUUAAUGAAGCCGCUUCCUAACAUCCUUACCUGCUGUUUGUAGAAAAGGCUACCGAAUCCCUCUCUCUACCAUGAACUUAGCUCUUGAUGUACUUUAACUGACGUAAAACAGUAACACAGAAGCACUGGAUGUGUGGUCAGGGGAAGAAGGCGGUCCGACUGUGAUGCCGGAAUUCAGAGAAUUAACCAGAGAGAUGGCCGUCCCCGGAGGGCCUGUGUUCUCUCGGUCCUAUCAUGUUGCACGGCCACCACCACUAGCAGUACUUCACACGUUCUUUGUAUCACCUGUGUUCAGAGGUAGAGCAGUGACUUCUGGCCACCAUGCAUGAAAAGCAACCGAAUCAAAAUCCAGACAGCAACAAUCUCCUGGGAGAUGUCCUGUCACAUGUUUUUGAAACAGUUUCACUCUCGAGCCUGUGCGCAUCCGAAGUCUCCCAGAUGCUGAGGUUCCAGACAUGUGUUACCACAUUCAGCUGAGUGUUAGAUUGUGUUGUUGUUCUGAGUUUCUAGGGACUCUUUAUCACAGAAGUGAUAGCUUGGUCAGGGAGGAUCGGACGGAACACGGUCCCAGAGAAGAAAGACCCAAUCCCAAGGCCGUGAGCACUCAACAAAGUGUAGGUUCCCUCGGCAUCCAUUUCUGUGACUUGCAAAAAUUCUAGGCCUUGGUCUCUGAAUGGGUGACUGGGCCUUAGAGUUGACAUUUCUGAAAGAUUAAACAUCUGUUGGCCCUCAAAACCCAUUUGUCUUGCACACUUAGCUUUUAUGGCAUCUUACUCCCAAGAGCAACAUGUUACAAGCCCUGUGGCAGGAGGGAGAAGAUAGGCCAUGCAUGUCCCUUCUCAUUCUGUGCUUCAUUGAAUAGGGAUUUUUAUGCCAGUAUGUCUACAUCACAACUGGGCUUAUGCAUGGUGUGUACAUGAACAGAUUCAUACAACUACACACACCCAGAUAUCCCAUGCACACUGGAAACCUUUCCUGGGUAGCUUUGCUCAGUAGAAGCUACAGAUGAGGGCAAAUACUGCGGAGGACCUCCCUGCAGGUGCUGGGAAUCCCCCUGCCUCCUACCCCAACCUCCAUGUUGGCCUAGGUAUGUGUGGAGAAGAAACUGCAUCUGUCUGGCUUGGUCAGGAAAGCAGAGGCCAUGUACUCUUCAGGCAAACAACAGAGUCCAUCAAAUAGAGCGAGAAGAUUCUCAAACCAGAAAUCUUCAGAGAGGGUCCAUUGGCCUCUAAACAGCAUCGUGCUGUCUGGAAAGAGAGAUCCCUUAGAGAUGAUCCCUCUCAGCCAGAGCUUUGCGGGACACAGCCAGCCUUUUUAUUCUCUCUAAUGACUACCGACACCACCUUUUCCAGAAAGGAAGCAGAAUCUGAGGAGACCAACGUAGACCAGUCAUGAGCUCCGGUGCCUUCAAGCUCAGGGAUUGGAUCAGUCUGAGGGUCUAAGGUUCCACCCACUUCCUCGCCGGCUGAGGGGAGGUCCAAUUCAGGUCUAGUCACUAAUGGCCUGCACACUGGAACCAGAAGCCUUUGGGGGGCAGGUGUGGGGGCAGGGGGGAUACGACUGCCAUUUCCUCUGAGCUCUCCCCUGGUCUCCCCUGAACAUAAUUCCUGAGCAGUGACCUCCAGCAGAGUGUGAGGUGACUUCCUUCCAAGCAAUGACAGAGGGGAACGACAGAGGAAUACCCAGGCUUUUUGGUUCUGGGGGUCACAACGCCCCCAAACAAUCUGCACGUGGCUCUCGAGAGCUCAAGGACCAGUUUAAGUAAACAUUUAAAAGUGGUGCUGUGUCAGGCACUGUUCCAGGGUCUGGAAAGGACCAAGAGGAAGGGAAAGAUCUCGGCUAGAGGUGAGUAUGGAGGGAAAGUCAGUGUAGAGGGACAAGAACGAAGGUGUGUCACAGGUGCCCUGGAGAGCUUUUGGGUCCCACAAGGAAAAGUAUAAGAAGGUUCCAGAAAGAAGUAAGGCUCAGGUGGAGUGAGCACAGAAGGUGUCUGAAGGAAAACAGACCCAAGUAAAGUGGUUUAGACUUGGGUUAUCCCUUUCCUGGCACCACAGUGUUUUAGACAGAAGCAUGGUCGCAGUGUCCUCUUAAUGAGGUCAGUUCAAAACCAGGACAGGGCCCAGGAAGAAGGGGUGGCUGUCACAGCUGCCUGUGGCUGGCAAAGGCCAUGGACCCAGAUAUCUUUUUGUGUGCUCCAUGGGGAGCAGUCUCAAGCAGGCAGCAGGCCCUUUUGAAGAUCAUGGACCCCACUGUGAAGAUGGUUUUCAGUGCAGUCAACAUAGUGAUCCUGAGAAUCCAGGCCUGUGGAUACUUGCAGGGAAGUUGAAGUUCAGUGAACUGGUGAAUGAACGCCGUGUUGGAAUCCAGGAAAGCUGGGGAAGAAACAGAGGUAACCUCGGUUAAGCCCAAGGUUUCCCUUAGCCACCCUUCCACUCAAGGAAAAGUGGCUCCUACUUGGUGACGGUACCUUCUUGAGAGACACAAAGAUGAUUAAUUAAUGGAAAUUAACUUUAUGAAUAAUAAAUACUCAGUCGGAUGAAGUAGCAUUUCCAUCUGUCAGAUCUUCUGCUGUAGCCAUUUAACUACAGCUGGAGCGCCAGGAAAACCAUCAACAGAAAAAAAAAACCCACAUCAUGUUGCGUUCCGUUUAAAGUUGUAUCAAAGGCUCACUAAGCAAGUGGAGGCAUGAAAAGCAGCCAAACCCAGAAAUGUGGCCUUGAAGCCCUGCCUCACCUGCUGUCCCACAUGCAGCUGGUGGCUCACUCUGAACUCUGCACUGGUCUAUUGUCAGUCAAAUCCGAACAUGUCAAAAUGAGUCUUUCCAUUUACAUUCUACUCACAAGGAAAUGAUGGGCGUCCUUUUUACUGUGCAAACAGCAUGCAUGUUUUCUCGGUACCUCAGUAGCAUAGCCUCCGGGUGUAGACAAGCUACAGUCAGUCAUGUUUGUUGUAGAGUGACAGACACUGUGGAGUUGGUGUAUACUCUGGGGAAGGCUCUCUUCUGCUCCUCAAGGGGGAUCAACACAUUAUGUCAGACCCUACAGUGGCCUUGAAGCUUCCUUUCAGUCUCCUUGCCUUUCCGCAGUGCGUGUGGAAGAGGCACACGAUCUGUAGUUUCAUCGUGUGAACGUGAGACAAGGGAAUUGUGAAGGUUCUUCUCUCUCAUCUUGAAAGGUCGUCUCAGUGUUCUGCCUUCCACGCCUGCUGUUUAAGUUCAUACUCACCAGUACUAGGUGGUCUCACUGGUUCUGGACAACUGGAAAGAUCAGUGAAAUAAAAUAGGAAGUAUUUUGUAACUGAGUGAAAAAAAAA
rnacentral:sRNA from 1 species